UUUAUUGGAGAGUUUGAUCCUGGCUCAGGACGAACGCUGGCGGCGUGCCUAAUACAUGCAAGUCGAGCGGACCUGAAUGGAGCUUGCUCCAGACAGGUUAGCGGCGGACGGGUGAGUAACACGUAGGCAACCUGCCCGCAAGACCGGGAUAACGUAGGGAAACUUACGCUAAUACCGGAUAGGGCACUCUCUCGCAUGAGAGGGUGCGGAAAGGUGGCGCAAGCUACCACUUGCGGAUGGGCCUGCGGCGCAUUAGCUAGUUGGUGGGGUAACGGCCUACCAAGGCGACGAUGCGUAGCCGACCUGAGAGGGUGACCGGCCACACUGGGA
rnacentral:rRNA from 1 species